AUGGAAACUUCUGCUAAAAGGUUAACCAGAAUAUGGAGCUGCGCUGCGCUAUGGAGCAGGGUCAGUGAGCUGAAAGAGAAGGGCAACAAGGCCCUGAGUGCAGGCAACAUUGAUUCUGCCUUACAGUGCUACUCUGAAGCCAUUAAGCUGGAUCCUCACAACCACUUGCUCUACAGCAAUCGUUCUGCCGUCUAUACCAAGAAAGGAGACUACUAGAAGGCUUAGGAGGACCGCUGCAAGACCAUCAACCUAAAGCCUGACUGGGGCAAGGGCUAUUCACGAAAAGCAGCACCUCUUGAGUUCCUAACCUGGUUUGAAGAAGCCAAGCGAACGUAAGAGGAGGGCUUAAAGCACGAGGCAAAUAACCCUCAGCUGAAAGGGCACAAAACUACAAGAUCCCCGGAUCAUGACCACUCUCAGUAUCCUCCUUGGGGUCGAUCUGGGCAGUAUGGAUGAGGAGGAAGAGGUUGCGAGGCCUCCACCGCCACCCCCUCCCAAAAAGGAGACCAAGCCAGAGCCAAUGGAAGAAGAUCUUCCAGAGAAUAAGAAGUAGGCACUGAAAGAAAAAGAGCUGGGGAAUGAUGCCUACAAGAAGAAAGACUUUGACACAGCCUUGAAGCAUUAUGACAAAGCCAAGGAGCUGGACCCCACCAACAUGGCUUACAUUACCAGUCAAGCAGCCGUAUACUUUGAAAAGGGUGACUACGAGUGGGGAGCUUUGUGAGAGGGCCAUUGAAGUGGGGAGAGAAAGCCAAGAAGACUGUCGACAGAUUGCCAAAGCUUAUGCUCGAAUUGGCAACUCCUACUUCAAAGAAGAAAAGUGCAAGGAUGCCAUUCAUUUCUAUAACAAGUCUCUGGCAGAGCACCGAACCCCAGAUGUGCUCAAGAAAUGUCAGCAGGCAGAGAAAAUCCUGAAGGAGCAAGAGCGGCUGGCCUACAUAAACCCCGACCUGGCUUUGGAGGAGAAGAACAAAGGCAACGAGUGUUUCCAGAAAGGGAACUAUCCCCAGGCCAUGAAGCAUUAUACAGAAGCCAUCAAAUGGAACCCAAAAGAUGCCAAAUUAUACAGUAAUCGAGCUGCCUGCUAUACCAAACUUCUGGAGUUCCAGCUGGCACUCAAGGACUGUGAGGAAUGUAUCCAGAUGGAGCCGACCUUCAUCAAGGGUUAUACCCAGAAAGCCACUGCCCUGGAAGCAAUGAAGGACUACACCAAAGCCAUGGAUGUGUACCAGAAGGCGCUCCACCUGGACUCCAGCUGUAAGGAGGCGGCAGACGGCUGCCAGCGCUGUAUGAUGGCGCAGUACAACCGGCAUGAUAGCCCCGAAGAUGUGAAGCGACGAGCCAUGGCCGACCCCGAGGUGCAGCAGAUCAUGAGUGACCCAGCCAUGCGCCUUAUCCUGGAACAGAUGCAGAAGGACCCCCAGGCACUCAGCAAACACUUAAAGAAUCCUGUAAUAGCACAGAAGAUCCAGAAGCUGAUGGAUGUGGGUCUGAUUGCAAUUCGGUGAUAACUUGUUCAUCCCCACUUCCCUUCGCCCUCAUGUGGAAAGAGGAGCUGGGACCGCUGCGAGCAGCACGGAGCGGAAGGGAGAGCAGGGGGAAAGAAGGCCUCAUCUCUAAAUUUAUACAUAACCCCGGGAAGACACAGAGACUUGUACUGGCACUGUUCGUGCCGCCGCUGCCUCUGCGCCUUCCCAGCACACGCAUGGUCUCUUCACCGCUGCCCUCGAGUUCCAUGUCUCCUUCCCCUGCCCCUAGUCACUGUCUGGGCUGCUCUCCCAUAGUUGGUUAUUUUUUAUUUGGGGCAGCGGGCAUGUACGGGGAGGGAAGGGGCUUCUUUCCAGCCUCAGGUCCCAGCUAUCUCAUGUUGUUUAUUCCACGUCCCCUUCUCCAAUAAAACAAACCAGUUGGGCGUG